UUUUUUUUUUCCCUAAAUAUAUUGGGUUUCUUGGUUAGUUGGUCAGUGGGUAUUUUUUCACUGGGUAAAAACUCAGAUUAGCAGGAGAAGCAGUAAUAGGGGAUCAUGGCAUAGGAUAUGAUAAGACCAAGUCUGGGUUUGGGAACACCUAGGGUAUUCCUUGUUUCAGCAAAUCCCAUUUCUGCUGCAGGAAGCCACACUAAGUUUUUCGGCUGUUGGUGGCAGGAGGGGUGUAAAUAAAAAUGUGAGGUAGUUCUUUCCACAAGAGGGAAAUAUUUGUCUACAUAAUAUCCCCGCAAUGUCUGACAAAUUACUAGAGCAUCUGCUUGCUGUCAUCUGUAAGCAAAGUCUUCACUUGGUAGUAACUGAACUUGACACAUCACGAGCUAGUUGCAGUUUACAGGCCCUAUUUUCUGAUCCAGACAUGGGAAAAAGAGACAUUAAACUGCCCCUCCCCCACAAAAAAAAAAAGCCAUGAACCAUAGAGACCACCAAGUACAAGAAUUGCAAAGGCAUAAGCUAUAAGAAGCAUAUAAGGGAGCCGGUGAGAGCACAUAAGGAGUAAUUUGCCAGAACUUGGGCACAGAAAAGGAUAGCCUGGUGGGGGAUAAUUUAUAGGAUCUGCUUCCACAGCUGGUCACCUCGAAGGUUAAAAAAAAAAAGAAAAAAAAAAGAUUUGAAGUUCUAGCAGGAUAUAGAACACAGCCACAGAGUCCAUAUAAAGGACAAUAAACACAGAACUAUAUUACAGGUUAAAGAAUAGGAUAUCCUAAGAAAAGCAAGAGUUGCCUGCUAAAACUUUAGUCUUUCUUACUUAGAAUCUGCACAUUUACGCUGAACUAAUAAAAAAAAAAAAAAAGUCAAUUGUAGCUGACAAUGUUUGCCUUCUAAACAACUCUCUCCAGGCUACCAGACCAAGAAUACCACCGGAAAUAGAUCAGGAGUUAAAUUAUAGUUAGAAAAGGGGAGAAAAGUAAGGUAGGACAUUAAAUUUUUAUUCUGAAAUUAUCUCUGGCCACGACAAUAAAAUGUUAACAAAUAUUCACUGAACAGUCUUACUCCUAUCUUCAGCUGUACAAUACAUACAGUAUCAUAGAACUGGCCACUAGGAUUAAAAUCCACCAGAACAUAUUUCAUGUUAAGUGGCGACAGCAGCAUCUCACAGAAAUGUUUACAUACAUAUAUACACAGUCCACAUUCAACCAUUUUCACAUAUUUUCAGUACACACAGUUGCAGCAUAUUACAGUCACGUGUCUAAGUUGUUGCUCGAUAAAAACCCAAGCCACUGCCUAGACAUAACUGUAGCAGUUGAGCUGAGUAUAAUUACAAUUAAUUUUAUCUAUGUCCAUAGCAGAGAGAUGUACAAGCCCCUAAGAAACAGAGUUGACAAAUACUUUUUUUUUUAAUGCUACCACAGCAUUAUGUUGGGCGAUAUUAAAACCUUUACCAACCAAAUCAGUUUUUUUUUUAAAAAGUCUUCUGCUUACCAGAAAUACUCUUGAUGAAAAAAAUUACAAAAAUGAAUGCUCUCUUUUAAAAUAAUUCACACUUUUAAGAUUCCAAUAUGGCCCAAUGCUACUGAUGCCUGAAGUGUUGCCUAACCUCCCGAUGGAGUCCUUUAACACGACUCCAAACCACCCAUUAAGUUUAAAAGUGGCUUAAGUGCCUUGCACCCAAAUUGUAAAAAUCCCUGGCCAUCCGUACUAGAGCCAGGCACAUAGAAAAGGAAUGCACUUUGGUUCAUACCAAAUGCCCUGGGAUUAAUCACACUAUAAAAUUAAAUGGUUUGAGGUAAAUUUUUACAAAUACAGUUGAUUUUUGUCUAGUGUUAGCAUAACAAAAAAUAUCAUUUAAAAAAUCAGUCUGAUGAUAAGAUACAACAAAGAUCGUCUUUAACCCCUUAAACAUAGGAAUUUCCGGUGUAACUAACCAGUGGUUACCUUUUUCAAUGCCUGAUGAUGAUUUACGCCUUGUGGUUUCUAUUAAGGCCUGUAAGUCACUAGAUAUUUAAGACAGAUGUAUCUUUGCAGAGGUGGGUUCCAUCCUUACUGCCUGGUAUUCAAAGAGUUAAAGAGGCCAAAAAAUGCAUGCCCUACAACAUGGCAUUCAGAACAAAAGGCACAUUGUUAAUUAACACUGAGGGCACAAUUUCUCCUCUCCUGUCGAUCUGCACUGUCCUGCAGCACGGUGCUGUUCCACUGCUGGAGCAACGCACUCAAGUGGUCAUGUGCGCUGUGGAGGUGCAAGAAACGGAGCCAGAUGAGACUGCAACCAAAGACAAGACACUGUGCUAUUCUGAAAUCUGAAAACAGCUCAGACAUCCCUAGACAAUGGUAACCUGUGAGACCAAGGACUGUUUCCAAGCCAACUCCUAGUAGCCUAUUAGAGCCCUUCAUUUAUUUAAGAUCACAGAGAUGCAACUUUUUUUUUUUUGGACAUUAUAAUUAAGCUGGAUUUUUUUUUUUUUUAAAGCAGCCCUAUCACUAAACACUGAACAUGGUGGCUCUUGUGAAUGAAGUAAAUUUCACUUUAUUUCGGGGGUGGGGGUGCAUAGCGCUGCACAUCAUAGUUUGGCUUAAAAGUUUCCGGUUACAUUUGUGAAUAUAGUCACAAAUGCACUAUUGGCAUCUUAAGAACCAGUUUUAUGUGGUGGGGGAAAGACAAGCAGUAUUAGUCCACUUAUAAAUUUUCACAUGUAUUUUAAAGGGAAGUUUCUAUUAAUGGCAGGCUCAGGUUCAUAUAAACCUAAAUGUGAAAAGGAGGAUGGAUAUGGAAGAGGAGCAUCGCAAGGGAAAAACAGCCUUUAUGGGUUUAUUUUAAUGACCUAAAGAAGCUAACCAUCAUUCAGAGGCUUACGGUUUUACAAA
rnacentral:lncRNA from 1 species